UUACGGCCAUAUCGCGUUGAAACAUCAGUUCCCCUACGAUCACCGAAUUUAAACAUCAUCAAGCCUGGCCAAUACCUAGAUGGGUGACCGCUUGGGAAUACCGGGUGCUGUAAG